AUUGAACGCUGGCGGCAGGCCUAACACAUGCAAGUCGAACGGCAGCACAGAAGAGCUUGCUCUUUGGGUGGCGAGUGGCGGACGGGUGAGUAAUGUCUGGGAAACUGCCCGAUGGAGGGGGAUAACUACUGGAAACGGUAGCUAAUACCGCAUAACGUCGCAAGACCAAAGUGGGGGACCUUCGGGCCUCACACCAUCGGAUGUGCCCAGAUGGGAUUAGCUAGUAGGUGGGGUAAUGGCUCACCUAGGCGACGAUCCCCAGCUGGUCUGAGAGGAUGACCAGCCACACUGGAACUGAGACACGGUCCAGACUCCACGGUAGGCAGCGGUGGGGAAUAUUGCACAAUGGGCGCAAGCCUGAUGCAGCCAUGCCGCGUGUAUGAAGAAGGCCUUCGGGUUGUAAAGUACUUUCAGCGGGGAGGAAGGCGGUGAGGUUAAUAACCUUGCCGAUUGACGUUACCCGCAGAAGAAGCACCGGCUAACUCCGUGCCAGCAGCCGCAGUAACAC
rnacentral:rRNA from 1 species